rnacentral:lncRNA from 1 species
GAAUUGAAUCCUAUUAGAUAUGGUUCGGUCCAUGAUGAGCUUCACUGAUCUUCCUUUAUUUCUUUGAAAAUAUGCUUUACUUACUUCUAUUUACCUAUUGAUUAGGAUUUUCUCUAAAUCUGUUCCUACCACAUUGUAUGUGAUGUGAUAUGGUAAGAAAUCAAAUCUUGAUCACGUUAAGUGACUACAGAUGAACAAAUUAGAGGCU